rnacentral:rRNA from 1 species
AUGGCUAUACCAUGCUGAAUAUACCGGUUCUCGUUCGAUCACCGAAGUCAAGCAACAACAGGCGCGGUCAGUACUUGGGAGGGUGACCACCUAGGAACACCGCGUGCCGUU